CAAAUGACAAAUCGGAGAAUUAGCUCAGCUGGGAGAGCAUCUGCCUUACAAGCAGAGGGUCGGCGGUUCGAACC
rnacentral:tRNA from 1 species